CCUCAACCUGACACAAUGCAAAUGUUAGCGCCUUCCAUGUUAGUAAAUAUAAGGUCUGAAUCAGAUUCAUACCCAAUAAGCAAGCAAAAGGUUGAUAUCAUCUAUCAGUAGCCUCAUUGUCAAAUUCUCAUCUUGCCAGAGCUCUGACUCUUUUGAAGCCGAAAAGGGGACUACCAUUUGGGGCUCUUCCUUGUAGUUCCACUCUUCUUUGACAUACUUCACUACUGCUAAGCUGAGUAGCCUAGGCUUCCGAACAGUAUACCAAGGCAAGAAUUCUGAUAGAAUAUUGAAACGAGUUUCUUCAGCAUCAGUCCACUCAUCAGAAGAUGGAAGGGGAACCCAGAUGAUCUUAUAGCUGUCUCUCUCACUCAAAGGAUGAUCAUAUGUUUGCUGAACCAACAAGAGUGAUUCCUCCAGCGUAAGCUGCUCUGUUUUUGAGAUCAGCAACACAACAAUCUUAUUUUUUAAUUCAGACACACCAAUCUGUUGGUGAAAGGAGAUUCAAAAUUAGAAAGUUUUAGUUGCUGAGCAAAGUUCCUUUUCUUUGUUUAAAAAAAAAAAAAAUCUGAGGAAACAAAUGAGUAUGAUUGAGCAGAUUACCUUUUCUUGGGUUGAGCAAUCCUUAAGUGGCAAGUAAUCCUUCACUGGAAAUAAUAAACUGAGAAAUCCUUGAUUAUCAUUUUGGACCUCAGCUGCGAGACUCAGUAGCCUGUUAUGCAAGUUUCUCCCUGAAAAUUCGAGCCACAGAGCUGAUAUAAGCAAAUAAAGCGGAAUCGACAGCUAAGUGCCCCAUUUAUAAGAGGUCUUGUGAAGUUGAAAGGGAACCUAUUUCUUGGUGACACAAAUCCACUUGCCCUUUGAGAAUGUUGCAUAUGCUGCUUAAUCUAUAAGCCAGACUUGAAAGCUCCCAGGCUGCAAGUAUUGUUGAAUCAGAAUACCUGAAACAACUAAAUGCAUGAAAACAGCAUCCCUAGUUCAAUCUAAUCCGUUGAUUUUGCUUAUUAAAUAAACCGGACGAAACUAUAAAGGUAAUAGAAUUUUCGGUGUGUAACAUAAUUGAUGUAAA